CUGACCCCUGGAGAUGGCACACAGACUUACUGCCUGCCCCCCUUCCUGUCUGAUCUCAAAAACCAUUCUAUGGCCUUCUCACUAUUUCAAGGAAAAAAACCAUUAUAGAAGCUUCCAGUGCCUUAGAGUAGGAAGGCGCAUCAGCUUGCAAAGCCUUCCCUGAAGUCGCUGCAGCGCAAACAGCUCUGCCGGUCCAUGCUCAGGUCAGAAUGGGCACUGCGGACUGAGAAGUGGGGUGCUGGUCACUCAGGGGGAAAGGCCUAUCCCUUGUUGCUGCAGAGGAAAUGGUUCUGCUAGAAAACGGCCUUGCCAGCAGUGGCCCCUAACCAUAUAACAAGGUACUCGUGACCACUGUAUCAUCUGGGAACACAAACCUGCUACUGGCACUAGAGGCAGUGACUAAGAAGGCAAGGCCCUAAGGUCUGUGAGAGAUUGUGUCAAUGACCUUAGCCUAACCAUGAAACCACCUCUCAGCUACUAAGUGGAAGAAAUGUGUCUGGCAUGGCCCUCUAUCCUCAGGACAUCUGACUUCUGGGCCGCCUUUACUUUCAUGAGAGCCUGGCUGCUUGCACUCACCUGAGCUAUUCACUGUGGUCCCUGUCAUUGGCCUCUGCUGAGCCCUGCCUACUUCCACGGCUAGGAAUCCCAAUGAGGUAGGGACUGGAGAAUAAAGCAGAGAAAAUGAGAAUAGCCCAGGGCUUGUCCUGUAAGGUCUGAGUCGGCUCUACCAGACCUUUGAGGAGGACUUUAGGGCCACCGUCUAGUUUCUUUCCACCCAACCUUGUCACUUCUGGACAGUGGAGCAUCUGGGAUUGCAUCACUGGGACCUGGGAGAAAGGAGGUGACUUCCAAAGAGAAGUAUCAGAGGUUAGAAGUGUGUAGAUCCCAGAGAACAGGACUGGGUGAUAACUGGUGUAACCUCUUACUGAGAUAAUGAGACACAGGAUUUGCGUGACAGUAUGAGACUCAGGACCUGGGUGGCAGCGUACCGCUUCACCCCUACGUCCAGGGAAGAUGGAUGAUGGUGACUUCUUCUGUACAAGCCAAUGAGUGCAGAGCCUGAAUGUGCUCAGGACCCAGCGAGGGUCAGGCCACCCGCAUUUAUAGACUGUCUGAGAAUGCAAAAGGAGAUGAGACAUGUUUGGCAGUCAGUCGUGUUUGUUUGUGGCAACUUCUCCCGGGGUUCAACUGGCAUUUCUAACGCCCAGGCUUCACUCCUUCAUAAAUCCCUGCUCUCAUGGUUGGCAGAAGCCACACCGCCUGUGUUGGAAUCCCAGCCUGGUCAUAUUUUGGCUGAGUGACUGUCACCUGGUUAACUAGCCACUCUUACUCCCAGUCCCUGCACCUAAAAAUGUGCCAUGAUGGUGCUUACUGCCUACCCUAAGAUGCCUGAACAUGAGCCAAGGGCACAGGCACCCGGGACGGCUCGUGGGCACGGCCAGGACUCUACACACUUCAGGACACACAGUGAGGGCCUUCUGCUUCCACUUAGCAUGUAGGACCACUCCACCUCUUAGCAGCUUCCUGGUUGGCUAUCAUGCCUCCUUCACUAGGGAGCAGCAAGGUGUAGCUCACUCACUGCUACCUCUGCAUUUUUGUGCUGUUGCUUGGAAUCAAAACACGGAAAGGGUCUCAAUGCUUUGGUUAGGGGAUUCUCGUUCUCAGCAACAGAACAAGUAAGGAUCACUUCAGCUUGCCCUGUGCACCUACAGUAAGGACCCAAGAUGUCUACUUUGUGCUUUUUUUCUCCAUGUAGUACCUCUGUGGCAAUCCCUGGGUUGGAUGGAUCUUGGCAGAGCCAGUUAACAUUCGGCUCAGCCUCAUGCCCAAGGUGCCUUUGCAGCCAGGCUGGCAGAGUGGUUGGUGCUUCCUUGAAAAUAUGGGAAGUAUCUGCCCCCUAGUGGCAAGGUUGGGAACAACGGCUGCUGCUUCCUUUCCAGGCUUGGCAGCCUUGUGGCUGUGACUUUGAACUUCACUGAAAUGUGAAGUUGGGCGACUGUACACACAAAAGCCCCUCCCAAAGAGCUGAGAAGCAGGCAGCUUCCCUGUCUCAGGUCCCAGGAGUUUACUAAAGAGGCGGCUGUAUACAAAGAGUAAGGUCUUUGUGUGAAAUUCUCACUCUUAAGGAGCCACAUAGGUUGAAAGGAGGUGUUUACAAUAAACAGUGCUGGCAACUUCACGUGCCGGGGAGGGAAACUGGAUCCCAAUAUUGUGUGCAGAAAUAAACUCAAAAUGGAUAAGGACUUCGGCAUAAACAUUGAAAGUGUCAGCCUAAUAGAAGAAAACAGGAAAUUUUUUGACCUUCAUCUAGGUUGUUGUCCUGAAACAUGGGCAACAAGUGAAAGAGACACACACAUUGCAUCAGACUAAGACACUUCCAGAUAGUCACAAAACAAGCAACAGAGCGAAGAGACAGAUUGCAAAGCAAGAGAAAAGAUUCCUAGUCCCAAGUUGCUAGGGGCUAAUGUCUGCAACAGGAAAGGGACACAGGACACUUAACUUUAAGUAAACACAAUGCCUGACUGAAAAUGGGCAAAUGGUCUAAAAGAGGUCUUUCUCGAGAAGACAUGAACAUGAGUGAGAGGUAUGUGAAGGGUGAGUACAUUCACCAAUCAGUGAACACAGAUAGCCCAAAUCGUGGUGAGUUACCCAGCAUGUCCAUUAGAAUUGCCUGCGGUCGACAAGAGUUAGCGGGCAUUGAUGAGGAUGUGGGAAGCAGCUGCCGCGCACUGUUGGUGGCAAUGUAGAUAUAAUCACGAAGGGCAACACAGAGUAUUUUGUUUCCUAAAAAGAAAAACAUGUCGACUACCACGUACGUUAUCCCACCUUGGCUUCACGUCUUUAUCUAAAGGAAAUGAAGUCAGAAGAUCAAAGAAACACUUGCUCUCUGUGUUCAUUCUAGCUCUGUGAAGUAUGGCCAAGACCUGGAGUCAGCAAGUCUAUUACACAUAGAUGGAUAAAGAUGUGUGUGUGUGUGUGUGUGUGUGUGUGUGUGUAUGCAUGCAUGUGCACAUAUGCACAUACAAACAAUAGAACAUUUUUAACCUGGAAGGGAAAGGAAAUACUAAUGUAUUCUGUACCCCAUGUAGACUUCAAAAACUUUGUGUUAAGGAAACCAAGUUGGUUGCCCCCGGGUGUAUUGUGUGCCUGCAUGUGUGCUCGUGUGUGUGCAUGUGUGUGGGCGUGUGCACUUGUGUGUGUGUGUGUGUGUGUGUGCACGGGCAUGUGCACAUGUGUGUCUGUGUGUUUUUGUUUACGUUGAGCACCUAAAGUUGUCCUCAGGUAUAGAGAAUGGGAAGCAGGAUGGUGAGAGGCUGUGGGUAGCUUCUAAGCUUCAGGCAGGAUGGAUGGAGAGCCCCGGUGGAGAGAGCAUGGUGAUCACGGGAGAUGACGCUAACAUGAACCUUUAUUUUCCUAAGACAUUCUGAAUGUUUUUGUGACACACAAACUGAGUGACAGAGAUGUGAAUUGCUUAAUGUACCAGUCAUUUCACAAUAUACACACACAUCAAAGUGUCAUAUUGGACACUUGAAAAAUGGACCUCACAAAAUCUGGAGAACUAAAAUUUUCCUUUUGUUUUCCCCUAAAGUCACACAGACAAGCCUGAGUACGCCUGGAGUUGGCAUUCAGGCCAGUGUGGUAUUUUCUGGGGCACGAGCAGGGCUCCUAAAUUUUGCCUUUCCCCCUCGAAGAUGCAAGAAGCUCCUGCCAUUAGCCAAGGUUGGAUUCCUGGCUCCAUAUACAUUCCGUGUUGAAGUGGUGUCAAUAGUCAGAUCCCGCUGUAGAAACAGACCUGGAAGACAGUGAGAUAGACAGUUGGUGCCUGCUUCCUCCACCUAGCAGUCUUGUGACCUUGGGCAUGUCAUUGAAAUCCCUCAAGCCAUGCUCCCAGAACUCAUGAGUUGCAAGUGAACUGGAGCAUGCAGCCCCUGGGGCUUUCUCUUGCCAUGUGCGGCUCUAUUCCAGCCAAGCUAAUGGGCUGACUUUGGAAAGGUGGCUCAAAGACACUCCUUUCAUUGCACAAAGAAAGGAAAUAAAAUCCUAAUAAUGAACUUGACACAUGUUGCUCAGAUCCAGCCUUACACUAUAUCUCUAUCAUCUGUGACUGUGGACCAACCCCACAUUGCAAGACUUAAGAAGACAAUAUUGUCACGUUUCCCCUUGGAUUCUGAGGUUUUAUGGUAAUGGAUGGGGCUGAUUUUCUGUUUAAUCUGAUUAUUUCUGGAGCUAGGAUGUCCACAGUGGUAUCUUCCCUUUUAUGUCUGGUCCUCUGGAACCAGCCACAGACUGGUCAGGCACUUCUCUCUGAUGGUGGCUCCACCUGCGUCCUUGAAACUUCCACGUGGUGACUUAAGACUGCGCAAACCCCAUGAGGUUAACAGAGGACUGCACCUGCAGUAUGGAUAUCCUUAUGGCAUUCUGGUUAUGUCACAUUGGUCAAGGAAGGUCGCACGUCUAACUCAACCAGGGGUCACUGUUGGAGGAAGCCUCAGAAAAGCAGGAAUCCUGGGAAGUGUGCCAAUAGCCAGUUCCUGUGCUGAUGUGAGAAGCCCCUCAGAAAGAGGUGUGGCUACAUCCCCAGGAUAUGUUUUGUUGGGCUGUGCUGCCCAGAGAUGAUUUUCAACUAGGAAAUUCUAGUGAUUUUUUCCUGGUUUUAUUUCUGUUGCUGUGAUGAGUACUCUGACAAAAGAAACUUUGGGGGAAAGGGGAUUUUUUUGUAACUUCAUAAGUACAGGUUAUAGCCCAUAACUAUGGAUAGGCUGCAAUGACAAGAGCUUAAAACAGCUAGUCACACCAUAUCCGCAGACUAGAGCAGAGUCACACCAUAUCCGCAGAUGAGAGCAGAGCCACACCAUAUUCGCAGAUGCGAGCAGAGUCACACCAUAUCCACAGACGAGAGCAGAGUCACACCAUAUCCACAGACAAGAGCAGAGUCACACCAUAUCCAAAGACGAGAGCAGAGUCACACCAUAUCCACAGAUGAGAGCAGAGUCACACCAUAUCUGCAGACGAGAGCUGAGUCACACCAUAUCUACAGACAAGAGUGGAAUCACACCAUAUUCACAGACAAGAGCAGAGUCACACCAUAUCCACAGACAAGAGCAGAGUCACACCAUAUCUACAGACGAGAGCAGAGUCACACCAUAUCUGCAGACGAGAGCUAAGUCACACCAUAUCUACAGACAAGAGUGGAGUCACACCAUAUCCACAGAUAAGAGCAGAGUCACACCAUAUCCGCAGACAAGAGCAGAGAGAAAUGAACGAAUGUACUCACUUGUUUGUUUACUUGGUUUAGCAUGAUUUUUUUCACACACUCUUACACAGUUUAGGCCCAUCUUCCUGCCUUGGGAAUGGCGCUGCACUCCAUCUUCUCACAUCUCUGAACAAGUGAGACAACUCCCCACAGACCAGUCCACAGGUCUGCCAGACAACCCCUCCCUGAGACUGUCAUCCCAGGUGACUCCAAGCUAUGUCAAGUUGACAAAGCUGACCAUCCCAGCUCCCAUAACCUGAUGUUCCAGAGAAUAACAAAGCAAGAGAUGAGCAAAGUCAUUCUUGUCCCGGGGUGCAGGCUUUAGGAACUGGCUGUCCCCACUCCAGCUUGCAAGCUGAUAUCCCCUCGCCAUAAUCCAUUACUUCAUCCCUGCUGGGAUGACUGUCUGCACCCCACACAUCACCAUUCACCUUUCUUCUCUCUUGUCCUCCAAGCUAGCAGUGGCGGAAAAGCCACAGCAGGAACAUUGGCAGUGGGGUCCGUGAUGGUGAGUGCUGGGGAUGGUUGUCAGGUUGCUUGUCUCUUAAAAGCAAGCCAAAAAUUAAUGGUAAUAACAAUGAUAAUAACAACAAAACAAAUUUAAUGUCCAGUGUUAGUUAAGUAUUAUCAUUAUUUAUUUUGUUUUUAAUUAUUUUAUUAUUCUAUAUGUAUGGGGGUUUGGGCUGCAAAUCUAUGCACCACAUGUGGGCCUGGUACCUUUAGAGAUCUGAAGAAGGCAGGAGGUAAAAAUGGGCUAUUGGCCAUUCAUUUCUUUAUUAAACCAAUCACAGCGAUGUAGCUUCACACAGUUUACUAAUAUCCCACAACGUAAUGAUGUAUGGGAAUAAUAAUAAUAAUGUAUUAUUCUAAGGCAUCAGUUUUAUUGAUUUUGCUUUUAUUUAUCGGGUAGAAGUCUGGGUUAAUCAGACUCCCCAGACUGUUAAAUUGCCCAUGUCUUAUUUUACUUAUGCAUAGGUUUAUCCUUUUUGCUUCAUGCCCCUCAUAGACACAAGCUCAUAGGCUUGCUAUGUAUACACAUGCCUCCAAAGCAUGGAUUGUGAUCUUAUGUGUAACAUACUGAAUUUUCAGAAAAGGUAACAAGUGGACAGUUUUGUAUGGGAUUUUAGCCCCACACAGUGCUGGAGAUGUGGAAGGACCCUGGAGAGGGCGUGGUAUUAAAUCCCAAUGGCAUCUGUUUUGUUUCAUUCCUAUGGCAAUACUGAUAAGCCAGGCACUGGAUGGACAGUGUCUGACUCCAUAGGUCCAGCCUUUAGGGACUCCUACCUUACACUAUACCAUAAAUCAUGGGAGGAUUUUUAUUUAUAUUGACAUCCCAUGAGAGUAUAACCCAGUGGCUGUUAGUGCAGCCACAAAGUAAUGUGGCCAUCACCCCUCCUUCUGGAAUGUCCACAUCAUUCUCCAAAGAACCUCAUCCCUAUUUAUAGCCUUGCCCAUCUUCUCCCUUCUUCUUUUCCCUUUCUUGGGGUGACCACUGGCCAAUUUUAUGUCUCUCUGAUGAGAGAUAAAAUCAGACCUUCUUCUUUUAGCAGGGAAUCCUAUAAUGUGUGGCCUCCUAUGGCUGGCUUAUUUUAUUUACAGUAAUAUUCAAGGAUCAUCCACGCUGUGGCAUGUAUCAGUACUUCAUUCCUUUGCAUGGCUGAGUAGUAUUCCGAGGCAUACACGCAUUUUGUUUGUCCUGCCAUCUGUUGGCUCACUGGGGGGAGUUGGGCACUGGCGAGAGCUGCAUUUGAAGGCUGGAGAUCAAGGAUACCAUCAAGUCGGGAGGAUUUCUCAGUCAGGAGGCUAAGGAGACAGAAUUAAUGUUUUAGGAAGUUAAUAUGGCAGGCCUGUGGCACUCAGGUCUGCAGGGAGGCGGAGAUAGGAGUGAGGCUAAGCAGACUAAACAGAGACACCAAUCAGGAAGGAAACGUCAGGAAGACCCUGUGUCGGGUGCAAACCUCAUCUCUCUCUGGCUCCCCCCAGUUCCACUCAAUCGCGUUUUUCUCCUUCCCCCUUCCCUCUAUCCCUCUCCCUCUCUUGUCCCGCUUUCAGCUCUUUUCUUUCUCAGUGCCUCUCUCCUUCUCUCUUCUUUCUCCCUGUCUCUCUCUUUCAUUCUCUUCCCCCUUUCUCCCCGGAUUUCCUUUCUUCUUCCCCUCCCUCCAUUCCUAGUCCCCUGACUUCCUCUUAUUGUGUUUUUUCCUUCCUUUCUUUCUCUCUACCCCUUCCUUUCUGAUUCUCUUUUCCCCCCUCCCUGCCUAGUUCCUUUCCCCUCCUCUCCCUCCUGAGCCCCUCCCUUUUUCUCCCCCCCUCCCUCCCUUCCUUGCCUAAAACCACGAGCCUGGAAGCCUAGCUCAUCUCAGGCAUAAGGCCAGGGUGCUUUCAGUCCUGUCUCCUCUUUCCUUCUGCAUGUCUGUUGAGGAUCAGCUGGUCACACGCCUUCCUGGAAUGUGCAUGAUGAUAAUUGCCUCUUGCACAAUUAUCUGCCAAGCCCUGUCGGUAAUGAAAUGAAUGAUUUAGUUAUCCUUGUUAGGAAUAACCCACAAUGCUCAGAAACUCAUUAUGGCAGCCACGAGGCUGGCAGGAAUGCCCUCGGAGGCACCUGCGAGUGAGUGGCUUUUACAAUUAGCUCUCUCUUCUCUGCCAGAUACCACAAUCCCACCCUGCCCCCACCAGGAGCCAAAUGCUGGAAGCUUUCUAGAGGAAAACCAAUAAACAAGCUUGGGGCUAAGGUUCAGCUGCAGAGCUUGCUGGACAAACACAGGGCCUUGGGUUUGAUGUCCAUCACCGCAAGAAAUAUGAGACUGGGCAAGACUCCCUCUGCCAGCUUCCACCCACACAACAUGAAACUGCUUUCCCCCAAUUAAUGGGAAAGCUUACCCAAAUCUCUGUGAUGAGUGCAGUGUAGAGGCCACCAGGGUUCUGAAGGAAGCUUGCUUGGUCAGCUAAAGGCAGGGCUCAAGUGGGCACAUCUUAUGCCACCUUCCCAUCCCCCCACUGCCUCUCUGGAGGCUUUCCUUGUUCACCUUUUCAUAGAGAUGCUUCAGCCUUGGCUCCUGCCUCAGUCUUUCUCUGACUAUAGCUGUUGAGUUUUAAGGGUAAGAAGAACAAAGGAAAACAGAGAUGAGUGUGGGCAUGGGCAUGGGUGUGGGGAAAGUUGAAGCCAGGGAUGCAGAGAUGCAUGGUGUUUGAGGGAAGCACGUGCCCAUGUGCUCUCUUGUCUUCUGGAAGAUUCUAUUCAUAAGUAACUUCUUUGGGAUGGGAAAGAACGGCCUAGAGCAGAGACCUCCCCCCCCCCUUACACACACACAGUUUCAGUUUGGCUUUGAAACAGAACCAUUGCUCAUUGACCACUCCCAAGACAACAUACCUCAGAGGCCUGCAGGGCAGGGCGGGUGCCUGAACCUGACCUGGCUCUGAUGUGAGAGAUCCUUCUGUCAAUGUCUUGGUUUUAUUGGUUAAUGAAUAAAGAAACUGCUUUGGACCUAUAGCAAGGCAGAACUUAGGUAGGCAGGGAAAGCUAGGCUGAAUGCUGGGAGAAAGAAGGGCGGAGUCAGGGAGAAGCCAUGGAGCCGCUGGAAUCAGACAUGCUAAAACUUCACUGGUAAGCCACUGCCAUGUGGUGAUUCACAGAUUAAUAGAAAUAGGUUAAAUUAAUAUGUAAGAGUUAGCUAAUAAGAAGCUAGAGCUAAUGGGCCAAGCAUUUAAAUAAUACAGUUUCUGUGUGAUUAUUUCGGGGCUGAGCAGCUGAAAACCAACAAGUGGCUCACUCCCUCCAACAUGGCUCAACCCAUUUCAUGGUUCCAUUUUGAAUAAGUCAUGCUCAUACACACCUGUGCUUAAUUCUACAGCCUCCAGCAAGUCAUUCUAUAAAAAUGUUGAGGCAGCUUACAAAGAUGAUGAUGAAACAGCUGGAUCAACUAGAUUCUGUAAGAAAGAUAGAACGUGCAGAUUUCCCUGAGGUUGCCAAGACAGUGUCUGUGCCUGAGAAACUCUGCUGUGACCAGAGAGGCAGCCUACAGAAUGUAGGAGGCACAGCCUUGACUAAUUUUGAGACUGAAGAAAACACAGAAUCGAUAGGAGCUGAGUGUGUGUGUAUAGUGUUGUUCCUAAGAAAGGUCUGUCAUGAGUCUCCCCAGGCAACACCAGCAUGGUGGCCAAUAAGAGCUGGGGACACAACAUUGACUGAGUGUCUUCACUGCUAGCACAGUCAUUUCUAAGAUCUAAUGAAAAUCACCAAGGGUGCUCUUCUAUGACAAUGAUGGAUUUGGUGGUGGUGGUGGUGGGGACAGAGACAUCCUCCUAUUUGCAUGGGAUUGGGGACCAUUUCCCUAGGGUGCCUUGUUCCCUUAAAAGACUGCCAAGGUCUGUCUAUUCUGUAUCCCAAGGGUUAGAAAACUCUUACUUUGAUCUCAAUGGAAGAGGCUUUAUCAGAGAGGGAGGAGUAGUGGCAAGAAGAGGAGGUCUGGUGGUGACCGCAGCUUUCCUGCAGGUCAUUGCUACACAUGCAACUGAAGGAGAGAUAAGGAUUCAGCAGGUUGAGACAGACAGAGGCCUGAUCCUUCAUCUCUGUGAGAAAGGGGCAGGGAGGAAACACACUCAACCCUGGGACAGGAAGCAGGAGUUAUGCUGGGGCAGACAGGCUACAGGGCGCUGGGGAGGCCCAUGCACACAGCUUCUAGGUAGUGCCAAUGAUUUUAUUUUGAUGGUUUAUUUAUUUAUAUUUUAUUAUAUUUUGAGACAAGGUCUUGCCAUGUAGCCCAGGUCAGUCUUGAGUUCAUGCCUACAUGGUAAGAGCACCUUUGCAAGAGACGGUGUUCUGAGACAGUCCACACCGGGACGGUAGAAGACUGUCCGCCUCCUGUGGUGCUAUCUACCUGAGAUCCUCCUGACCCCUAUCCCCUGUUCCUCUGGUGUCUCUUAUUCUCUUUGACUGUAAGAAAAGCAGGGUGAAUGGUCAGAAUCGACACAGAUGGCUUUGGGGUGACUUUUGCUGCCGUUUAGCCGUGAUGGGUUCUUAUAUUCCAGGGUAGGGUGUGUGGAUUAGGGACAUUAGGUAGGAGGAAUAGGGGUGUGAAGGAAAUACAGAGACAUGGGAUAGUACCGGGAGGGCAACUCGGUGAAUAUUGAAUAUUGAAUUCGCCUGUGUUUAAUUUUCAUAUACUUUAAUGCCCCUAUACAGAAGUGGGGGAAGAAGGCAAAAGACAGCUUUACCAUGACAUAAAGGACAACCAGAACAGUUACUUGCUCCAGUACUUGAGACGUCAAGCUAUUAUUUCCUGAGUAAAGCAUUUGGGGGCAGGAAUAUGCAGUGAACACACUCUAAACCGAGUAUCCUGUAGGCAGCCACUUCCAAUGUCAAAUCCUCCUAUUUUAAAAGAAGGAGCACAGGAAUAAGCUUGAAUUCUCUGACCUUUGGUCAGGGUGGAGCAGAUCCACCUCUAUGGGCCAUCUUGAUGUCCAAAACAUCAAGCAACCACACCUGACGUCAACAGCUUUGAAAGAGCAAAACUAAGCUCCAACUCUCUGACCUCCAGUCAAGGUGAAACAGGCUCACAUCUGUGGGCCUGCGUGUGUGAAUGCAUGUGAGUGUGUGAAUGCGUGUGGGUGUGUGAAUGUAUGUGUAUGUGUGCAUGCCUGAGAGCAUGUGAGGGGAUAGGACUCACCAGCAGACCAGAGCGCAGGGUCAGAGCGCUUCCAGGUGAGGUGGGGCCAGAGGAUGCUUCAGCCGGACUCCUGUCAGCCUUCACAGCUGGAGCAGCAAUCCUGGUGGCGCUCACUGAGGAGCCAAGAGCAGCCCCUGGAGGAGUAAGUAAAUGGUGAAGGACCAGAGGGUUCCGUGGGAGGCGGAAGGAGCCAGGGAUGCUCCAUCAGAGCCAGCCUUAGAGUAUGAGAUGAGAGGAAAUCGGAAGAGGGGGCUCCUCUGCGCCUGUGUGGCCCUGGCCUCCACCCCUUACUUAAUGCACGUAUCUCUAACCCUGUCCCUUGAAUCCUGACAUCUCGAAGCCACUGCCAUGGACUGCAAAUCUCAAAUAGAGCAACCGAGAGUGAACACAAGGACCAAUGUGGCCAAUAGCAUGCCUUGCUACCACAAAGCAUUCCAAAGCAAGUCUGGAAACCAGUGGCCAUGUCAGGGAGGUGGGGAGGGGAGUCAUAGACUCACAGACCGAGGCAGGAAGUGCAGGCAGCAAGGGUUUAGACAAGAUGCAAACCCUGCUUCUAUUUACAGGUGCUGCCUUGGCAUACCCUGGAAAGCUGUGGAAUACACAAGUCCAGGCCUCAGACAACAGAGGUUCAUGACUGCCUGGCUCCUGGCUGACCUCACUCCUUCUGCUCGCCUCUCAACGACAGGGGACUGGGGCUGAGGCUAGGACUGAGGACACGACAGGAAGUUAUGGAGAAAAACACGUGCCUGAAGAACCACUGCGAGCGGCCGGCCUGAGCUGGGGUUCCCAGAGCCUUCUGAAUUGGGGGCCGUGAAAGGCUACCCUGGACUUUACCGGUUUGGAUGUCAGCUCUGCCGGUUCCUUGUCACGUGACAUGGAACUUUCCUGGGAAUGGAUUGGGGGUGCAGUUUGUGUGUAUAAAUGGAGAGCUACAAUACCCACUAACUAAAUUGCAUCAUUAUUGCUUCUGCUUCUAUUUCAAGCGGAAGCUGAGGAUUGGAAAGUUCAAUUUGAGGCCCGAUAAUCCACUGGAUGGAAAAUGAGUGUAGGGUCAUGGGACCUGGGCAAGGCCUCAGUGUGAGAAAAACAGCUCCCGGGGCCGAUCCAACUUAGGUCUCGGCCUCCACGCUGUGCAAGGCAACCAAGAAGCCCCUUUGCUUUUCUUUUCCUUUCUUUCCUCUUUACUUUUAUUAGCCUUUUUCAUGGUUGGGGUCUGAAUAACCUAAGACACCGCACAUGAACUCUGCCACAGAGCUGUGUCUUCAGCUCUUUCCAUUUUUAUAAAUUUUUAUUUUUUAGACAGAGUCUUUUACUAACUCUCCCAAGUCAGUCUUGAACUAGCAAUCUUCCUGAUUCAGUCUCCCUAGGAGCUGGGAUUACAGGCCUGGCUAACAAUCUAAGUUUUCGACAACAACAACAAAAAUCCUUCCACGAUCAAGGUUAGGCUUGGCAUGUUCAAAAGUCCUUUUCCGAUCACCCAGAAGUUUCUCCCCUGCUUUUCCAAGCUAGUGGACAUCUGCCUGCAAACAGGUAGACCCCAUGGGAGCAGAAGGCCCAUAGAAACAGGCAGUGUGCGCAGUUGGGCUCCCCUGGUUAGCCCUGUCGGUAGCGUGUCGUCUCACUGAACUUCCCCUUCAUGUUCAGCAGAUGGCGACCGUGUGCUAGUGCUGUUGAUUCCUGGACACCACGGAAUUGUUUGCAAGGUAAAAAAAAAUAAAUCCUCCCCCUGCUCCUGUCUGGAGCUCUAUCAGGCAAGUCCGGAUGUCAUUCCAGGUAUCCAGCGCAGGUGCCUUUCUUCAUCUGGAUGUCGGAGGUUGGUGCCGGUACCUGGACAAAGAGAUGCUGGGGAGGUAGCAUCUCCCUACCCUGGCCUCCUCAAUCUUCAUCUCUGCAUCCGCAUGGAGGUCGGUAUCUCCCGCCCAAUAGCAAUGGGAUUCUAGAUUAAAUUAAAUGGAAACAAACAAUCUAAAAGACAAUAUACGGCAAAGGUCACCAGACAGCAAAGCCAUCUUUACAUGUCAGUGGGGGAGGAGCCUGGCUGGGAAACCCGGAGGGUCUGCAGGAUCGCAUGGAUGGAUCAGGUCAUAACUCAUGUGUGGCAGUGUGAAAAUAAGGGGACUUUCUUGUUAGCCUCUUACAGGUCUUGUUGCCUGGGUUCUAGAAGGAAGGAUGAGAUGUCAGAAAGACCCUAGUCUCUGAAACCAGACUACCCAAACCCAGCUUGGCCAUUUAUUAGUUGUGUGCCUUUGGACAGCAUCUAAACUUCCAGAACCUCAGUUUCCUUAUCUGUAAGGCAGAGGUUGCAGGAGCUUAAACUGCACACGGUUAUGUGUAGUCUAAUUGGUUUUAAUAAUAAAAACCCAGAGUCAGAUAUUGGGGUACAUGCUGGCAGAUCAGAGAAGUAAAAGGAGUCAGCCACUAGAGAGACCUUUUAACUCUACUGAAUCCUCAGACUGAAGGAGUCAAGAUCCUUUCUCCAUGAAUCCUCAGACUGAAUGCCUUGAGCUGUCUCCGCCUGCCUUAGAUUCCUCUCUCUGCCCAGGUGUAUUCCUUCCUGUCUCCACCUCCAUAGUGCUGGGAUUAAGGGCAUGCGACUCCCAAAUACUGGGAUUAAAGGGGUGAGCCACCACCACCUGGCUGUAGUAUUUCUCUUUGAGACUGAAUCAAUCUCAUGUAGUCCAGGGUAGCCUUGAAUUCACAGAGAUCCCUGCCUCUGUCUCCCGAGUGCUGGUAUUAAAGGUGUGUGCCACCAUUGCCUGACCUCUAUGGCUAACUAGUGGCUAGCUCCAUACUCUGAUCUUCAGGCAAGCUUUAUUUGUGAGAUCACAAACAAAUUAUCACCACAAUUAUGUAUUGUUUAAAAUGAUUUUAGAGUCAUAAUGUAUUUGGUAUUGCAUAGGUGCUAAGUUAAUGUUUGGCUGUUAUCAUUUUUCUUUUGUUUUAGUUUUUCCUUCAGGAAAAUAACUAAAUCACCUGUCCUUCUCAAAGGUGUGUCUGAAGUUCCAGGAGGAGAUGAGCCUGGAGAAAGAAGACCCCAAGAAUGGACACAGUCCUCUUCUCCCUCUCAAGGUUUUUCUUCCCCAAGAACCUAAAUCAGGUCUUCCAGCGUGCCUCUUGGCAUGGUACCAUGCUCUUCAACUGGUGGGCCAGAGUCCAGUGUGUUCUGGCUGGGAAGUUAAGUGAUGUCGCUGUGGAGGUUCAGACCCUCAGGAAGCAGGUUGCUGCUGGGCUGAGUGACAGCUUGGUAGAUGGACAUCUCUGUACUGGCAUAGCUUGUCUCAGAGCUGGCCCUUCCCUGGGGUCAUGAGGACAGACCUUUGCUGCUCCUUAGCGCCUCCUGGAGGCAGGGAAGAUGGCCUUCCAGGAGCUCAGUCAAUAGCUCAGAGAGUGAGCUAGGGUGGUGGUGGGGGAGUAAUUCACACACUCACAUAGUAUCCUGCACUCAAAGCAGGCUCUCCAUCGUGAGCUUAGCUGGCUCCUGCCAGAUCUCAGGUGAAAGCUUACUGAGGAUUUUCUCUACAGGUUUGUGGGAGUGUGCCCAGCUGUGAGGGAAACAUCUCCAUCCUCUGACUGGUGAGAAGACCCUGUUAGCUCCAGGAUCCUGAGCUGAACCCUCAGUUAUGCUUUGAGCUACAGUCGUGUUGAUACGUGAUCCUGAACAGGCCUUUCUUAUCCCAGGGUCUUCCUUGGUCUUCCUACAUGUUGGAGUCUCGGAUUAGUCUAUGGCCAUCACUACUCACUCUUUCCGCCAUCUCUUCACCAAGUGCCCCUCACAGAUGACUUUCAAAGCAACCAUGGUUUUCCAUGUUGGUCUUACCAUCCUUCUUCUCUUCAGCUUCCACCAGAAGACGUCUCCCAAGGGUCACAGGAAGAGGAUGACUGAGGACGGAGGUGUCUCCAUAGAGACCUGGGUAGAGCAGCUCUCAGCUCAGCAGACCCCACCCCCAGAGCUGCGGAUCAUCGGAUCAUCGGGAUCAUCCAGUGAAAGGAGAAUCUCUUCCCUUCUGGAGUUCAGGAGGAAUACAGUGGAACCAGGCUUCCUACCCACUGCUCGCAAGGAUUUGUAGCUAUUUGUGUACCUCCUGCCUCUACUAGAUAGAGUCCCUUAAUGGAAGGGACUGUCAUCUUUUCAUUGGACACUGCACUGCUCAUCGACUUCAUCGCAACAAAUGUGCCUCUAAGAUUUGGUGUCUGCAAAUAGUGGUCAUGGCCACUGGUAAAAAACAGGCCACAGUCAAGGAUGCCUUGCUAUCUGGCUUAUGAUGGGAAACUUACAUGGUUUCCAAUGUGGCUGUGAACAGUUACCCCCUCCUCCACAUAGCUUUGGGCUCACUACCCUUUGCACACAUGUCUCUGUAGUUCUAUGAUUCCAUAGUACAUGGUUAGGGGGAUAGAAAGGGACAUAUGCAUGGAUCAGAAUUGUUUUGUCAACCUGUGGGUUUUCUGCUUUGUUCAAUUGUUUCUUCUAUAAAUAUCAGCAAAUAAAAUUAUCUAAGAUUGAUGCUUCUCCUGUCUCAGUGGGAGACACUAAGAACUCUGAAUGAAAAUUGUGCAACAAGCCUCUACCGAGGAAUAACGGGACUGGUGAGAAAUGGUUGAUCUUCAUUUAGUUCAUACAUAGAAGUCUCCUGACACACACACCAUGAACACCCGAGGCAGGUGGGUGAGCUGGCCCCAAGAUCAUAAGAACAAGAGAGCUACCACUGUCUCACACCAACCAGCUGCAGCACUUGGAGGAGCCGACCCCGACCCUCGCCAGGGCAACCUGAUAGAACCAUGCCAUCCUGUUGAUGGAGAUGUGGAUGAGCUGGCCCCGAAGUUGUGAGCAUGGAAGAGCUGUCCCCAUCACUCAUCUGUCAUAUGGUGGCACGGGUGGCAGAAAGAUGCCUCUUCCCUUGCCCAUCAAUGCCUGAGGCAGGUGGGAGAGCUGAUCCUUACUUUAAUUAGGAAUAUAUUAAAGUUCACUCUUUCCUGUGUAUAAAAAUGUUUUUUUUAAUUUUCCAAACAUCAAUCUAUAUUAUACGAUUGAACAUUUUUUGACUUUCAAACCAACCUCCCCAUCCACACGCACUGUUUAAAGCAGAAGU